AUAACGAAUGGGGGGACAACACAACACAACCUUGACCUUGAGUUUGACCCCGCCCAUUUUCCCUCUCUUUCUUUCAAGGCCACUCGUUCUCUCUCUUACUUUUCAAGGCCAACCCCUCCCACUUCCCCCACCACUUCAAGGCCAAGGCAUUAUUGGACCUUGAUGUUUUCAAGGUCAAGGUUAUUCAUGCUACUCCCCACUUUUUCAAGGCCAACAACUCCUCACUCAUUCAAGAUGAAUCGCGCAAUUGUCCUUACUCAUUUUCCACCCCAAACUGUAUAAAAGAUAAUGUGUUGUGUUGUGUAACACAGUUCUUGUGUAUAUCUACUAUAACAAGAAAUUCUUUAAAAAUGGAACCCAUCAGAAAAAGUUCUAUUUAUAAUACUCCUGAGGAUAUCAUAGUUUGUCCAUACGACAAAAACCACAUUCUUCUUUGGUUUCGGCUCGAAAGGCACAUAUGGAAGUGCCAUCGGGCCGAUAAAGAAAAACAAAGGGCCUUACAUGAAGUGAUGAUGAAGGAAGAAGAGGAGAACUGGGAUCAUUUCAAUGAGCCCAGCUACCUCGACUUCUUAAAAUCUAAAAGGAAUCAUAAUGCCUUAAAUUAAAGAAGGUCGGGGUUCUUUCGUAAAAAUAGUGUAGAAUAAGUUUAGCAAAGUAGUAGUAGUCGUAGUAAACUGUAAAUAUUAUAUUAUUGUAUAAAAAAAAUAAAAGUUGUAAAAAAAAGCUACAUGUUUUUAUGUACACCUAUUUCAACCUACUGAUACAAGUAAGUGUGACCUGCAAGCAGAGAGUCGCUCACUGUUUCAAGACCACUCAUUCCCUCUUUAUCUUUGAUGUUUUCAUCUCACUUUUUCUCAUUAUCUCACUUUUUCAAGGCCACAAUAUUGAUGCAUUUUCAUUCAAGGUUAAAAAGUGGGGGUAUAGUUAAUAUAUAGAAUUUAGUACAAGUUUGAUAGCAGUCAGUACUGAUUUAAUCCUCCGAGAAAUAAUAAUAUAAAAAAAGUGCAUAUAUCUGUGUUAAUGUCUAAGAGUAUUCGCUGCUGGGUCAUGGAUGUAUUGAAUCGAAUCGCUCGAUGCGGACAGAAACCCAUUUUAAAAGCUGGUGAGCUAGAGUUGAACACAAGAUUCCGCAUACAUAAUAUUAGACGCACAAAGUCUCUGUUCGGAAAUUCAGUGCUUGUUGAGUUGGACAAUUAUGCAGUGUUUCUGCCGAGAAGAAUAAGUGAUUAUUUAACUGAGGAGAAAAUUGAUGAGUUAUUACGAGAUCCACGUCCACUAUAUUUAAUAUAUUUGGGAAAAGAAGAUGCUAGAAACCCGACAUCUGCACAUUGUUUUGAGUUUCAACGUGUUGAUGAUGAAAUAUUAGGUGAGUGAACAUAAUGUAAAAUGGAGGAUGAAAAGAAAUUAAAGAAAUGUAUAUUUCAUUUACAGUUAACGAGAGUGCCGAAGAGUAGGAUGAAAUUAUCGGAAAAAGACUUAUGUGUGUGAAGUAGUGUGCGUUUUGUGCUAGUGAUAGUUUCUUAAAAUAAAUGAAUAAAAAUCAUGUGUCUAGACGAUGGACAAUAUGAAAAAUGUUUAUACGAGUGUUUUGAUAAAAGACUGUUAUCAUAUAAGAACUGGGUACAUUCAUACCCAUCUCCAUGGAGUUUAGCAAAAGCGGGAUUGUUUUAUAUUCAAAUAUCUGAUUGUACCCAGUGUUUUGUUUGUGGAGUAAUAAUUUCACGAUGGGAAAAAAGUGAUGAUGCGUUUAUGGAGCAUAAAAAACAUUCUCCAAAAUGUGGAUAUGUGAAAUUGCUUUCCACAGACAAAACUACAAUUCAAAAAUUCAAAUUAGUUACUAAAAAUAGCAUUGUUGUAGUUUUAUUUUUUAUAGUAUUUGUAUUCAUGUAUUAUUUAUGGGCGUCUUCUUAUGCAUAGGUAAUGUGAUGCAGACUUGUUAACCUUGAUCAGUGUCGGGCGCGCGCCAAAGGUGAGGUAAACUAAAGGUUUCAAGAGACGUCUUGAUUUAAUUAGUUUAUAAUUAAAUAAGUGGUAGAAUAAUAUGGAGGAUUUAUAAUAGAUUUAAGGAUAUUUAAUGUACUACCUAUAAUAUUGAUGAAAUAAAGUGUUUUAAUUGA